CUCAAGGUCUCGAGGUGCUUGAUUUGAGUGGAACAGCUAUAAAAGAGCUGCCUUCAUCAAUUGAUGGUUUGACAACCCUUACUUCAUUGGCUCUUAACGAUUGUAAGAAUCUUGUGUGUCUUCCUAGCAGCACUUGUAGUUUGACUUCGCUUGAAUACCUAGGUCUUUGUGGGUGCUCAAAUUUUGACCACUUGCCGGAGAACCUAGGGAAUCUCAAAGGUCUCAAGGAGCUUGUUUUGAGUGGAACAGCGAUAAAAGAGGUGCCUUCAUCAAUUGAUGGUUUGACAACCCUUACUUCAUUGAUUCUUAGCGAUUGUAAGAAUCUUGUGUGUCUUCCUAGCACCAUUUGUAAUUUGAAUUCACUUGAAGUGCUCGAUCUUUGUGGGUGCUCAAAUUUUGAUAACUUGCCGGAGAACCUAAGGAAUCUCAAAGGUCUCAAGAACCUUCGCUUGAGUGGAACAACUAUAAAUGAGCUGCCUUCAUCAAUUGAUGGUUUGACAACCCUUACUUCAUUGACUCUUAACGAUUGUAAGAAUCUUGUGUCUUCCUAGCACCAUUUGUAGUUUGAAUUCACUUGUAUGGCUUGUUCUUCGUGGGUGCUCAAAUUUUGACAACUUGCCAGAGAACUUGGGGAAUCUCAAAGGUCUCAAGGAGCUUUAUUUGAGUGGAACAGCUAUAUAGGAGUUGCCUUCAUCAAUUGAUGGUUUGACAACUCUAAGAUGUUGCAGAAAUCUUGUGUGCCUACCUAGCACCAUUUGUAAUUUGAAGUUGCUUAAUUCUCUUGAUCUUUUUGGAUGCUUAAAAUUUGACAACUUGCCAGAGAACAUUGGAAAUAUGGAAGGUUAGGAGCUACUUAAUUUGUGUUGGACAGCCAUAUAAGAGGUUCCUUCUUCCAUUGUUUUCCUUAAAAAUCUCAAACAGCUUCAUAUCUGUGGAUGGAAGUUAUCUGAAUUUUAUUCCCAGCCAGCAAGUCCUAUGUCGAUAGAACCUUUAUGGAUUUCAUUAUCUUACUUGCCAACAAGUCCUACCACGGAAAGAAUAUUUUUGCCUUCAUUUAUAUAUUAUUCCCUGCAAACAAGUCCGGUUCUGGUGGGCUUAUCAUUGCCUUCCUUGUCAGGUCUACAAUCUUUUACAGAUUUGAAUCUUAGUCACCGCGAUCUUUGGUCAAUCCCCAAUGACAUUGGCUGCUUGUCCUCUUUAGAAUACUUAGAUCUAAGUGGAAAUAAUUUUGUUUCCCUUCCUGAAAGCAUGUCUCAACUCUCUAAAUCUUGGAAGACUCUGUUUGGAGGGUUGCGAAAGUCUUCAAUCAUUGGAAAAUGUUCCGCCAACUAUUGAUUCUAUAAUUGCAGACGAUUGUACCUCACUGGAGAGAUUGCCAGAACUGCAGUUUUAUCUUUCUAGGUCAGAUCGCACCUACUUGCAAUUCCUGUUUUUCAACUGCUUCAAAUUGGUUGACAAUAGCAUGCUUCAGGGCAUUAAUUACAUGCUUCAGGUCAUGAAUUGAAAGUACAAGUGCCUUCUAAUUUGUCUAAUGCAUCAAUUGGAAUUGCAUUUUGUGUUGUUUUUGUUCCCAACAAGUGGCGUGAAUGCCCUUGUGAUUGGGAGCUUUCAUUUAGAAUCGAUGGAUUUCCAUUGAAUGAGGGAGAAAUUUCUGGUUCUAGGAAAGAAUAUGGUACAAUUGAAUCACAUCACCUUUGGCUGACCUAUUAUUCCUAUUGGAAUGGAUUUCAUCCUCUUAAGAUUAGAGCAUCUUCUCGGAACUUGGAGGUGGAGAAAAUUGGGGUCCGAUUCAUAUACCGGCAAGACAUCAAAAAUCCCAGUAAAACUAUGGCACAGUGCAUCAACAACAGCAGCAUCAUAAUCCAUCAUGAUAUUGCUGAUUCAAUUGCAGAUGGUAGCGGAAAUAAGCGAAGCCAUGAUGAGGAUGAUGGGGCAGGAUCUAGUGGAGAAUGCUACCCUAUUGUGGAACCACCGCCAAAGAGGAUUCAACGGCUUGGAGGAUUUAUGGAGGAUUCUGAGGAUCCUAGUCAAAGGGAAUUUUCCAAUUUCUUUGCGAUGGAUGCAGAGGAUCAAAUGUCCAUGAAGCUUGAAGCCAUUCACGAAUGUAGUAGUUACCAAGACAUCGAAGAUAUCAAUCAAACCCUGGCACAGAACAGCAACAACAGCAGCACGCUUUAUGAGGGUCUGGGUGAAUCUAUUGUGAUAUUGAACGAUUCAGCCGCCGAAGGUAGAAUGUCUGAUUUGGAAGAAUCUAGUGGAAAAGGCCACUUUAAUGAAGGACCAGAUCCAAAGACUUGGAGUAUUUAUGUCUGAUUCGGAAGAAUCUAGUAAAAGGGAAUUCUUCGCCUGAAGGGAUCAAACGUCCAAGAAGCUUGAAGCCUAUUGCGGCGGUAAGAGGGAUAGUUAGCAGAGCCACGUUGAAGAAUUAGCCAAGUAGGAUCUCUCCUUUCACUCAAAAUGAUUCCUAGUGAAAAAGCGCUCAAGGAACAAGUGUGCUCUACAUUCCAAGAUCUUCCUGCACAGUACACAUUUUAGAUCACUGGUUGGUGGAAUCUUCUGGUGGUGGAGGGAAAUGUCUCUCUAGGUCUUCUCUUCUAGAAACAUCCAAGAACAGCAAAUUCUUUACAUAAGAAAUAUCACGGGCUGGAAGUAACUCGUUGAAUGUCAAUGGGCACACACUCAUCCCAAUUCUAAGGAUCAAAAGUGGCAUUUCAAUAAGAACAACCUUGUUUGUAAAUGUAGAAAUACCUGCAAGUUUAAAUUACAACAAUAACAACCAGAAGAACACAAAGUUGCAGAGCUCAGAAAUAUACCAAGGCAUCUACUGCAGCAUGCUCUCUAAGGAUCAUGAUCCUGAUGAUUCAGCCUCAGAAGGUAGCAGAACUAAGCGAAGGCAUGAUGAGGAUGAUGGGGCUGGACACCUAGUGGAGAAGGCUACUCUAAUGAGGAACCACAGCCAAAAUGAAUUUAUCAAGUCGGAGAAUUUAUUGCUGAUUCUGAGGAUUCUAGUCAAAAGGGAAAUUUUCGACUUCGUUGCCAUACAAGGAUAGUAUGAAAUGUCCUAGACGCUUGAAUCCAUUCACGGAGGGAAGAGGGAUAGUUACCAAGACAUUGAAGAUCUCAAUUAAACUAUGGCAGAGUUAAGCAUCAACAACAGAACACUCUGAGGAUCUGGGUGAUCUCCGCCAUGAUCUUUGUGAUUCAACCAUAGAAGGUAGCAGAAAUAAGUGAAGCCGUGAUGAGGAUGGCGGGACUGGACCAAGUGGAGAAGGCUACUCUAGAGACGAACCCCAUCCAAAGACUUGGAGGAUGUAUGGCUGAUUCUAAAGAAUUUAGUGCAAGGAAUGUUUCGACUUCUUUUCCUGAGGGGAUCCAAGAAACUUGAAGCCUAUCGCAGUGGUAAGAGGGAAAGUUACAAGAGCGACGUUGAAGAAUUAGCUCAAACCCACCUUGGCACUCACUAAACUGGUCAAGAAUUAACCGAGGGUUCCUUUUUCAUGUGAUACAAUGAAGAUUGAGGAAGCAAAGAGCACAUACUCCUAAGGAAAUUGAUCUCCUCCGCUAUUAUUGACCCGUUGCAAGUUGAGAGCACAUUUCAACUCUCCAUCAACAAUGAAGCAAAA